AGCGAACGCUGGCGGCAGGCUUAACACAUGCAAGUCGAGCGGGCACUUUCGGGUGUCAGCGGCGGACGGGUGAGUAACGCGUGGGAACGUGCCCUCUGGUUCGGAAUAACUCAGGGAAACUUGAGCUAAUACCGGAUACGCCCUUUUGGGGAAAGGCUUGCUGCCGGAGGAUCGGCCCGCGUCUGAUUAGCUAGUUGGUGAGGUAACGGCUCACCAAGGCGACGAUCAGUAGCUGGUCUGAGAGGAUGAUCAGCCACACUGGGACUGAGACACGGCCCAGACUCCUACGGGAGGCAGCAGUGGGGAAUAUUGGACAAUGGGCGCAAGCCUGAUCCAGCCAUGCCGCGUGAGUGAUGAAGGCCUUAGGGUUGUAAAGCUCUUUUAUCCGGGACGAUAAUGACGGCACCGGAGGAAUAAGCCCCGGCUAACUUCGUG
rnacentral:rRNA from 1 species